AUUGUAUCCACGAUUGGGGAAUUUUCCGCAAUGGGCGCAAGCCUGACGGAGCAAGACCGCGUGGGGGAGGAAGGUCUGUGGAUUGUAAACCCCUUUUGACUGGGAAGAACACAAUGACGGUACCAGUCGAAUCAGCCUCGGCUAACUCCGUGCCAGCAGCCGCGGUAAUACGGAGGAGGCAAGCGUUAUCCGGAUUUAUUGGGCGUAAAGCGUCCGCAGGUGGUUUGUCAAGUCUGCUGUCAAAGCGCGAAGCUUAACUUCGUAAAGGCAGUGGAAACUGGUGAACUUGAGUGUGAUAGGGGCAGAGGGAAUUCCUGGUGUAGCGGUGAAAUGCGUAGAGAUUAGGAAGAACACCGGUGGCGAAAGCGCUCUGCUGGGUCAUGACUGACACUGAGGGACGAAAGCUAGGGGAGCGAAAGGGAUUAGAUACCCCUGUAGUCAAUCGUGGAUACAAU
rnacentral:rRNA from 1 species